rnacentral:rRNA from 1 species
GGCUCGCAGGCGGUUUCUUAAGUCUGAUGUGAAAGCCCCCGGCUCAACCGGGGAGGGUCAUUGGAAACUGGGGAACUUGAGUGCAGAAGAGGAGAGUGGAAUUCCACGUGUAGCGGUGAAAUGCGUAGAGAUGUGGAGGAACACCAGUGGCGAAGGCGACUCUCUGGUCUGUAACUGACGCUGAGGAGCGAAAGCGUGGGGAGCGAACAGGAUUAGAUACCCUGGUAGUCCACGCCGUAAACGAUGAGUGCUAAGUGUUAGGGGGUUUCCGCCCCUUAGUGCUGCAGCUAACGCAUUAAGCACUCCGCCUGGGGAGUACGGUCGCAAGACUGAAACUCAAAGGAAUUGACGGGGGCCCGCACAAGCGGUGGAGCAUGUGGUUUAAUUCGAAGCAACGCGAAGAACCUUACCAGGUCUUGACAUCCUCUGACAAUCCUAGAGAUAGGACGUCCCCUUCGGGGGCAGAGUGACAGGUGGUGCAUGGUUGUCGUCAGCUCGUGUCGUGAGAUGUUGGGUUAAGUCCCGCAACGAGCGCAACCCUUGAUCUUAGUUGCCAG